CCAGGGUAUAAUGAAAUUUGAAGUUAGAACUCUUUUGAUCAUUAUUAUUUCUCUGACUGAAUGAAAAAUAUUGAGGUUAUCUAUUGAUAUUGACGAUUGUUCUACAAAAGAUGGAUUGGAGUUAUUUAUAAUUUAAUUUGAUAAUGAAUCGAUUAAUUAAGAGUUGUUAAUGUUUAGAUAAAAAAAAUUGAUAUACUUACUUAGAAUAGAGACAUUGAUUUUGAUUAUAAGAAAAAUAUAAUUUUGAUUUAGAUCAAUUUUUGAGUUAUUGA
rnacentral:lncRNA from 1 species